CCACAAUAUCCAGAAUUCAUAGCGAUUUCAGGACAUAGUGCUGCCCUGAGGAGGUGUAUCCAAUUGUUGUGAUAAAAAUCUAAAUGUCUGUGUUUGUAGCCAGCACUUUCAGCCAGAGGAUUUCAAAACGGAACUGAAGUCUCAACCGAUGGGGUUGCAUAUGUCGUUGAAAAGUGAUGCUAUUCCAUCGACUUUCCCCUUCACUUCAAAGAGGAAGGCCUCCGGUCAGCCAACAUCAGCACAGAAGAAAAUCAGUCAAGCUGAGACUAAUCCUGCUGCUGAUGAUGAUGAUGAUGAUGAUGGCAUUGACCCUAGCUUUAGUAGCACAGAGCCUGUAGACCCAUUGGAUGAAAGCUUUCAGCCUGGAAUAAGGUCAAGCUCAAGGUCAUCUGACUUCGAAACAAGCCAGGACAGCCAAAGGAGACUUACAGUACAUUUAAAUCUUCUGCGAGAGGUCGAAGCAGUGGGUGGUGAAGAACAUCGCCAAAGCCUGCUAAACCAGCUGCCAUAACCCAACACAAAAAGAGGUUCACUAGCUGAAGAACAUUCUGGAACCUGCCUGAAACAUUCAACCAACACAUAUCCACAUUCAGUUAGACUGAUGUUGUAGUAUAAUAUAGAAUGCCUUGUAUGUUCACAACUUCAUUGUGGUAUAGAUAUUAUUAGCUGUUGUACAUAUGUACUUUAUAUAAAGGUGUUUUAUAUAAUAUUUUUCACAAGAGUACUGACAAGUGACGAAAUGAUUCCAGCUACAGAUAUUUUUUGGCAGAAGUAGAGAUUUCAUUUUGUUUUUACAACUUUCUCCCUGUCUUUGUUUCAUAGCAAGUCAUUUAUAGUGUAUAGUGCCUUGCAAAAAUUAUUCAUACCCCUUGGAUUUCUUCACAUUUUGUGUUACAAAGUAGGAUUCAAAUUGAUUUAAUUGUAUUUUUCUGUCAACAAUUUACAGAUAAUAGUCUGUAAUGUCAGUGGAAGAACAUCUUUAAAAAAAUGUUUUAAUAGAAAUUAAAUAACUAAAAUAUA